rnacentral:rRNA from 1 species
CAGUAGCCGCGGGAACACGGAGGAUCCAAGCGUUAUCCGGAUUUAUUGGGUUUAAAGGGUGCGUAGGCGGCCUAUUAAGUCAGGGGUGAAAGACGGUAGCUCAACUAUCGCAGUGCCUUUGACACUGAUAGGCUUGAAUGUACUUGAAGUGGGCGGAAUGUGACAAGUAGCGGUGAAAUGCAUAGAUAUGUCACAGAACACCGAUUGCGAAGGCAGCUCACUAAAGUAUGAUUGACGCUGAGGCACGAAAGCGUGGGGAUCAAACAGGAUUAGAUACCCCCGUAGUCCCUGUCUCUUAUAC